GAUGAACGCUGGCGGCGUGCCUAAUACAUGCAAGUCGAGCGAACGGACGAGAAGCUUGCUUCUCUGAUGUUAGCGGCGGACGGGUGAGUAACACGUGGAUAACCUACCUAUAAGACUGGGAUAACUUCGGGAAACCGGAGCUAAUACCGGAUAAUAUUUUGAACCGCAUGGUUCAAAAGUAAAAGACGGUCUUGCUGUCACUUAUAGAUGGAUCCGCGCUGCAUUAGCUAGUUGGUAAGGUAACGGCUUACCAAGGCAACGAUGCAUAGCCGACCUGAGAGGGUGAUCGGCCAACCAGGAAAUGAGACCCGGUCCAGACCCCAACGGGAGGCAGCAGUAGGGAACCUUCCGCAAGGGGCGAAAGCCUGACGGAGCAACGCCGGGGGGGUGAUGAAGGUCUUCGGAUCGUAAAACUCUUUUAUUAGGGAAAAACAUUUGUGUAAGUAACUGUGCACAUUUUGACGGUACCUAAUCAAAAAGCCACGGCUAACUACGU
rnacentral:rRNA from 1 species